CUAGCCCUAAACGAUGUUGACUUGGCGUCGGUGGCUUAAUCGCCAUCGGUGUCGAAGCUUACGCGAUAAGUCAACCGCCUGAGGACUACGGCCGCAAGGUUAAAACUUAAAGGAAUUGACGGGUCCCCGCACAAGCAGCGGAGCGUGUGGUUUAAUUCGUUGCUACACGAAGAACCUUACCUGGGUUUGACAUAGUGGUGGUAGGGAAGCGAAAGCGGACCGACCCUUCGGGGAGCCAUUACAGGUGU
rnacentral:rRNA from 1 species